UACGUAGGGUGCGAGCGUUAAUCGGAAUUACUGGGCGUAAAGCGUGCGCAGGCGGUUCUCCAAGUCCGUUGUGAAAGCCCCGGGCUCAACCUGGGAAUGGCAGUGGAAACUAGGGGACUGGAAUCUGGCAGAGGGGGGUGGAAUGCCGCGUGUAGCAGUGAAAUGCGUAGAGAUGCGGCGGAACACCGAUGGCGAAGGCAGCCCCCUGGCUGAGAUUGACGCUCAGGCACGAAAGCGUGGGGAGCAAACAGG
rnacentral:rRNA from 1 species